AGUCGAGCGGACAGAUGGGAGCUUGCUCCCUGAUGUUAGCGGCGGACGGGUGAGUAACACGUGGGUAACCUGCCUGUAAGACUGGGAUAACUCCGGGAAACCGGGGCUAAUACCGGAUGGUUGUCUGAACCGCAUGGUUCAGAAAUAAAAGGUGGCUUCGGCUACCACUUACAGAUGGACCCGCGGCGCAUUAGCUAGUUGGUGAGGUAACGGCUCACCAAGGCGACGAUGCGUAGCCGACCUGAGAGGGUGAUCGGCCACACUGGGACUGAGACACGGCCCAGACUCCUACGGGAGGCAGCAGUAGGGAAUCUUCCGCAAUGGACGAAAGUCUGACGGAGCAACGCCGCGUGAGUGAUGAAGGUUUUCGGAUCGUAAAGCUCUGUUGUUAGGGAAGAACAAGUGCCGUUCAAAUAGGGCGGCACCUUGACGGUACCUAACCAGAAAGCCACGGCUAACUACGUGCCAGCAGCCGCGGUAAUACGUAGGUGGCAAGCGUUGUCCGGAAUUAUUGGGCGUAAAGGGCUCGCAGGCGGUUUCUUAAGUCUGAUGUGAAAGCCCCCGGCUCAACCGGGGAGGGUCAUUGGAAACUGGGGAACUUGAGUGCAGAAGAGGAGAGUGGAAUUCCACGUGUAGCGGUGAAAUGCGUAGAGAUGUGGAGGAACACCAGUGGCGAAGGCGACUCUCUGGUCUGUAACUGACGCUGAGGAGCGAAAGCGUGGGGAGCGAACAGGAUUAGAUACCCUGGUAGUCCACGCCGUAAACGAUGAGUGCUAAGUGUUAGGGGGUUUCCGCCCCUUAGUGCUGCAGCUAACGCAUUAAGCACUCCGCCUGGGGAGUACGGUCGCAAGACUGAAACUCAAAGGAAUUGACGGGGGCCCGCACAAGCGGUGGAGCAUGUG
rnacentral:rRNA from 1 species